GACGAACGCUGGCGGCGUGCUUGACACAUGCAAGUCGAACGGAAAGGCCUGCCUUCCCUUGUGGAUUGCGGGUACUCGAGUGGCGAACGGGUGAGUAACACGUGAGUGAUCUGCCCCCAACUUGGGUAUAAGCCUGGGAAACUGGGUCUAAUUCCCGAUAGGACUGCAGGGUGGUGCCUGUGGUGGAAAACGAUUUUCUAGUGGUUGGGGAUGAGCUCGCGGCCUAUCAGCUUGUUGGUGGGGUAAUGGCCUACCAAGGCGGCGACGGGUAGCCGGCCUGAGAGGGUGGACGGCCACAUUGGGACUGAGAUACGGCCCAGACUCCUACGGGAGGCAGCAGUGGGGAAUAUUGCACAAUGGGCGGAAGCCUGAUGCAGCGACGCCGCGUGGGGGAUGACGGCCUUCGGGUUGUAAACUCCUUUCGACCGCGAGGAAGCCACCUGGUUGGAAGGGUGGUGACGGUAGUGGUAGAAGAAGCACCGGCUAACUACGUG
rnacentral:rRNA from 1 species